UGUGGUCAGUGUUACCAUCCAUACUGUGUCAGUAUUAAGAUCACUAAAGUGGUUCUUAGCAAAGGUUGGAGGUGUCUUGAGUGCACUGUUUGUGAGGCCUGUGGGAAGGCAACUGACCCAGGAAGACUCCUGCUGUGUGAUGAUUGUGACAUAAGUUAUCACACCUACUGCCUAGACCCUCCAUUGCAGACAGUUCCCAAAGGAGGCUGGAAGUGAAGUGCAAAUGGUUCUCUAGGGUGUGUUUGGUGCAGACACUGUGGAGCAACAUCUGCAGGUCUAAGAUGUGAAUGGCAGAACAAUUACACACAGUGCGCUCCUUGUGCAAGCUUAUCUUCCUGUCCAGUCUGCUAUUGAAACUAUAGAGAAGAAGAUCUUAUUCUGCAAUGUAGACAAUGUGAUAGAUGGAUGCAUGCAGUUCGUCAGAACUUAAAUACUGAGGAAGAAGUGGAAAAUGUAGCAGACAUUGGUUUUGAUUGUAACAUGUGCAGACCCUAUAUGCCUGCAUCUAAUGGUAACAGAAUAAUUUAAACUUGCCUUCCUCAGACUGCUGUGGAUCUUCACUUGUAGCACAAAUUGUCACAAAAGUAAAAAAGCUAGACCCACCCAAGACUUAUACCCAGGAUGAUGUGUGUUUGAUUGAAUCAGGGAUGACUCAGUUACAGAGCCUCACAGUUACAGUUCCAAGAAGAAAACUGUCAAAACCAAAACUGAAAUUGAAGAUUAUAAAUCAGAAUAGCGUGGCCGUCCUUCAGACCCCUCCAGACAUCCAAUCAGAACAUUCAAGGGAUGGUGAUAUGGAUGAUAGUCGAGGUAAUACUAAUUUAUUUUCCAUGAAAUUAGUGCAAG
rnacentral:lncRNA from 1 species